CAGAUUCGCACGAAAUUGUGGAAGGUGAAGUUCUCGAAGUGAGUGAGCGAGUGCUUUGGAUGGGAAGUGCAUGAUGCACGGCCGUGAUGUGGCUUUUAUAAAAAAAGUAGAUUAGGUUGUGGCACGUGGUCUGGGGAUUGCACUUGCAGUGGAACUCUGAUGAAUGUUAAUGUCAUGCGGUCAUUUCAGACCCAUAAGACCUAUGAAAGUAAGUUGGAUUCAAUCAAGGUUUCAGGUCAGGGUAAACUAGGCAUAUAUAAAUAUAUAUUAAGACAUGCCAUUGAAUCCCUUAUAUAUGCAGAUAUAGAAUGCAGAUAUUAUACUUAAGAUAAUAUUUGUCUAUCUGCAAACUACAAGUGUGUGUAAACUUCUCGCGCGGCAAAUCGUAUCUAGCAUCGCAAAAGAUACACUCUCACUAGUUCGAGCGUGCAGUAUCUGUAUGUGGUUAUGGGUAUGAAACACAACAGGUUGUCGGCGGUGUUUGGAGAAAGUGCUUAGUGCCAACAAUACCAUCAGGUGCAAUGACCACAUAGGUAUACCUAGUCGGUGGAUGGUUGGUUCGAAAAAUCGUAUAAAUUGUCAUGGAAACGCGACGCUCUGUGGAAGGCUAAACAUGCGAGGGAACUUGAUCUGAUUAAAGCCCCAUAAUCAACUAAGGGAGUUUUCCGACGAAAAGAUUGGCCAUAUAACUACUAAGAAAUACCUAAAGCUUGUCCAACAUUAGACAAGCUGCAUACCGUUAAUAUAAACUAUUAUAACUUUCUUUUCGUACAAAGAGAAACAUAACAAUGCAAUGGUUAAGUCCGUUGAACUUUAACUAUUUAAUGUCUUUGGAGCUUAGAUAAGGAGAUACAUAACUUUAUAUGGUAAAGAUAUCUUUAAUAUUACUUGAUUUAAACGUCUUGAACUUUGAUAAGAAGAUACUUACCAUUACAUAUUGUAAAUUUCUAUUUAACAUAACUUCUUGAACUACCCAAAUCUAAAUGGUUACAUAAACUCCAAAAUUACUCAUGGAAGGAUUGGAGUACUCAAUCUUUCAGAUGCGUCUACUGCUUCCACAUUUCUUCCGCUUGAAGGCCGCAAACAAGGGUUCAAGUACAGCAAACACUUUCUUAGUCACACGUACAUACAUAUCUCUUCUCUGCGUAGGUGGUGAAAAUUGCUGCCCUUUUUUCCAGUCUCAAUUCCUCACAGAUGCGUUUCCUAGAUGCCAACAUGCUGAGGAUUACCCAUUGUCCGUAAUAUUUGUAUGGAAAGGAUACCCCGUCGAAGUGCUAUUGAUGAACUCUCGCACACAUGCUUGGAAAUAUUAUUACUAGUCACGGCGUGGGAACCGAGGCAGAAAUGUCCCAAGAUCCGUGCAGAAUAUGGCAAUUUCUGGACGUAAAGGUGGGUAAUUUGCGACACAUUUAUAAUACGGGUACGGCACCGGCAUUUCCCAGGUGAAAAUGCGACAUCGCAAAUAGUGGUCACCCUGCUGUACGGAUGUAUCCCAGAUACAUACAUACAGAAAAAAAUUGGUUUGUCAGCGAAAUCAGUUUUUCAAGAAAAACUGAGCCCUUUAUUCCCAACUCGGACACAAACGACAGUGAGGUACAGCCUGCCGAGGACCAUUAACCCUGUCAACCCCUAAAAUGACAAUUGUUUGAGCUAUCAAAAGGAUAUUUUUCAAUAAAAUAUUAUCCAAAAUAGUUUCCCCUUUCUUCCGAGAUGGAUUGUUAUGCAUAUGUGCUUUUCCAGGCCAUCCGUGAACGUAUUCUUAAAGGGGUACAACAAUUUCACAGUUUUUCCACACAAAAGCAAUGCCGACCGACCCACAUUUAUGAAUGGAAAGUAUCCUUAAUCUUAUCAUCAUGGGGUGGGUUGGACUUCGACCGAAAUUUUGUCAAGUUUCCUCAUUUUUCACGAUAGAUUCAAACGAACUUUGGCCCUUUUCUUCAAUUUUGUAAUUGCGCCGUUUAUUUGCCCAUUGUAUUUUCGCGCGACCCUGUUUCACCUGGGAAGAUCCCGAUCCUUUGUUCUUUUGUGACACCAAACUAGCUGGAAAACCUCUUUUUUUUAUAUUGUCAUCAUUGUUACACUUUUCUUUGUAAAUAAAAACUUGACAAUUUUCUGGAAAAUAUAUGCGCAAUAAACAAUGGUUUGAUCAAGCAAUCAAAAUCUGAUAAGAUUUGUUUAUUUAUUUAUUAUUUACUUAGCGCUUUAAUUAAAUUUGCCCAAAAGUUGGCUAUAAUUGCGUGACGUUCGGAUUUGAAGCUAUCUUUUCAGAUUUGCGUUUUUGUCGUUGCAAGACCGCGGCAGUUAAUCCAAGAAACAAGUUCUCUUAUGAACAUUUCAAUCUUUCGGUCGACUGACUCAGCAUCCCUCAACGAAGUUCUACGCUUUUACGCACUAUAUAAAACAGCCUGCAGUCGAAAAGGACCUCUCAAUAGUCCUGUGCACCACCUGCUUCCUGUGGAAUGAUGCUGGGAUUCCGAGAUAUUCUUGCAGCUGAACAUAUGCGCCUACGCUUCUUGGUUUUAUAAUUUUAAGGGCUGUUCGAAUUUUCAGGAUGUCUUCGCGGGUCCUAAAAAACGAUAUAAACUGUACACAUGACGAGAAACAUAAGGGUAAUCUCUUUGCGUGGAAAUGUUUCAAAGAACUAAGCAGAAAUGGAAAUCAGGCAAUAAAAUCAUAUCAUUUAUCCCUAAGCCUUUUUUCGAAUUCCUGAAAAUGAAAAGUCCUUCUAUAGUAAACUAUUUGGCAGGAUAUCUAAGUCAUAAAAAUAAUAAAUACGGGAAAAAAAUCAAGAAACUAAUCUGCAAACUAAUCCACUGAAACACCUGAUUAUUUUGUAUACACGAAUCAAUAUAUAUUUGCAAAUAUAUAGUAUUGUAUAUGCUUAUUUACACAGUUAUAAAUAUAUAUAGUUAGUUAUUUAAAGACAUGUAUGUGUGUACUAUUAUAGUUUAACAAAUGCCAUGUGUGCAUAACGUUAAAUAAAUUUAUUUGUACGUUUGCAGAGUAAAUACGUUUUUUGUUGUGUGUAAUACCAUUUCUGCGAUAUUGUUUGCAAUAAUACACUGUAAAUAGCUAUACCUUGAUAUUAUGUAUAUAUAAUAUAAGGUACUUCGCCACAAUAUGUUAUAUACCAAAAUUCCAUUAUAUGUCUCGUUCAACGUUGGGUUUUUGGAAUGCAUAUAAUUUGAAAUGGAUUAUUUAUGUAUAUAGAGAUGCUUUAAGUACAGGACUUUAAACAGUAUCAGUUUCAAAAUAAUAAUAAAUCAAAACCAGAAACCUUUGAUUUAAC
ensembl:ncRNA lncRNA:CR45973 long non-coding RNA:CR45973